rnacentral:rRNA from 1 species
CCUACGGGAGGCUGCAGUAGGGGAUAUUGCACAAUGGGGGAAACCCUGAUGCAGCAAUGCCGCGUGAAUGAUGACGGUCUUAGGGUUGUAAAGUCCUUUUGUAAGAGAAGAUUAUGACGGUACCCUACAAGUAAGCACCGGCUAACUCCGUGCCAGCAGCCGCGGUAAUACGGAGGGGGCAAGCGUUGCUCGGAAUUACUGGGCGUAAAGAGAGCGUAGGCGGGGAAAUAAGUCUGAUGUUAAAUCCUUUGGCUUAACUCCAUAACUGCGUUUGAAACUGUUACUCUGGAGUGUAGUAGAGGUAGGUGGAAUUCUUGGUGUAGGGGUAAAAUCCGUAGAGAUCAAGAGGAAUACUCAUGGCGAAGGCGACCUGCUGG